UGCAAGGAGUAGUUUAAGUAGAAUUUCAGCUUUGGGUGCUGACGGUAGGGCUUAUGCUCUUUCCUU
rnacentral:tRNA from 2 species